AAAAUAUGCGUCCGCGUGGUGCAUUAACGUUCCCUACUUGAAACAAGCCACAUACGUAAUUUAUGGAAUCCAUUGCUUGGCUGUUGAACUGUUUAUAAAGCCAAAAAGAAAGCUUGAAAAAAAUUGUGUUUGAUCAUCGAAUUCGAACAGGAUAAUGUUUAUUGACGCCACCAGAACUUUUAUGUUGAAUUGUAUGAUAGGUUGGCU